AUGACCAAGGGCGUUGGUCCGUCGAUCGGCAUCGACCUCGGGAUGACCUACUCCUGCGUUGGCGUGUGGCAGCAUGUCGACAUCAUGGGCAACGACCAGGCCACCAUGGCAACUGCACCACGCCCUCCUACGUCUCCACCACCAGCGACGCCGCCAGGAACCAGGUUCGCCACAAUUGAGUAUUGGAGAUCGUGUGUGAUUGAAAUAUCAUUGGCAUUGAUCUUGGCGAGGACAACACAUGGCUUGCUGGCCUUAAACAUAUAUUGUAUUGAGAUUUCUGUAAUGUCUCAUCUGACGUUUUCUGUAAUUUUGACAUAG
rnacentral:rRNA from 1 species